UGCUUACUAGGAUCACACCUGGAGAGUUUCCAGUACUCUACCAGUCUCGGUUAUAGGAGGGAGAGUCAAGCAGAGAUGUACCCAUUCCAUUCCUAGCUUGGGCAGUGGCUAGUAAGUGGAGGGCAAUAUGCUACAUUC